rnacentral:rRNA from 1 species
UACGAAGGGGGCUAGCGUUGCUCGGAAUCACUGGGCGUAAAGCGCACGUAGGCGGAUUGCUAAGUCAGGGGUGAAAUCCUGGAGCUCAACUCCAGAACUGCCCUUGAUACUGGCGACCUCGAGUCCGGGAGAGGUGAGUGGAACUGCGAGUGUAGAGGCGAAAUUCGUAGAUAUUCGCAAGAACACCAGUGGCGAAGGCGGCUCACUGGCCCGGUACUGACGCUGAGGUGCGAAAGCGUGGGGAGCAAACAGG